rnacentral:sRNA from 1 species
AUAAUCUUAUCUUAUUGAAGAGAGGACUCAGUAACAAUUGCUUUUCCUGUUUCUGUAUAUCAUAAACGACGUGGUAUUAUUUAAUUAAACAACCAAUCAUUAAACAACAAAUUAUUAAAAAUGCAUCCUUUAAUACUCUUAUUAAACAAUAAACCAUGUCAUUUUAAAUGUAAGGUAGUUGUAUGUUGUAUGUUAAGAUAUGGAGAGCAAAUACUGUUUACUAUGGAAACUUGAUAUAAAUAUUCUCUGCCCCAAGGAAUAGUACACUUAUAUAAAAUUAUAUUAGCUUAAAGUGUGUAAUUCUGAUAUACUCAGCUUUUGUUACAUAACAUAUUCAGGAAUAUAACCCCUACAAUAACUACCUAAGUGUAUAAAAAGAAAGCUGUCUGUUAAAUAAUUUGAUACUCAACUUUCAUGGUUUUAUAUGCCUAAUGCCUAUUCUUCAAAUAUAUGUUUUGGUUUGCCUUUUGGUUCUGUUUUGGCAAAAGAAACGAAUUUGGGAGAUUCUGAUUAGAGGGAGAAAAUUGGCUUCUAUAUGGAACAGAAAAUAAUGUGUUCCAGAAUUUUUAAUACUCUCAUGAGGGUUAAAUCACUUAACUCUUUGUAUCUGACCUAUUUAGGAAAUGCGACAUGCCUUUUGUUUUUUUUGUUUUUGAGAUGGAGUCUCGCUCUGUUGCCAGGCUGGAGUGCAGUGGCACAAUCUCGGCUCACUGCAACCUCCGCUUCCCUGGGUUCAAGCAAUUCUCCUGCCUCAGCCUCCCAAGUAGCUGGGACUACAGGCACCCGCCACCACGCCUAGAAUUUUUGUAUUCUUAGUAGAGACGGGGUUUCACCAUGUUGGCCAGGAUGAUCUUGAUCUGUAGACCUUGUGAUCCACCUGCCUCAGCCUCCCAAAGUGCUGGGAUUACAGGCAUGAGCCACUGCGUCCGGCCUCGACAUGCCAUUUUAAAGCAUGACGUAUCCCAGACUUUACUCAAGGCAACACUGGACAGUGUUGUAGAAGAAUGUGUCAGCUUUGUGGGAGUGGAUAUUAACAUCUGUUCAGAAGUUUUGUUAAGGCAUAUUGCAGGACUCAAUGCCAACAGGGCCAAAAAUAUUAUUGAAUGGCGAGAGAAAAAUGGACCCUUUAUCAACCGAGAACAGCUGAAGAAAGUGAAAGGGCUGGGCCCAAAAUCCUUCCAACAGUGUGCUGGCUUCAUCAGAAUCAACCAGGAUUAUAUCCAAACAUUUUGCAGUCAGCAAACUGAAACUUCAGGCCAAAUUCAAGGAGUUGCUGUGACAUCUUCAGCAGAUGUUGAGGUCACAAAUGAGAAGCAGGGCAAAAAGAAGAGCAAAACUGUAGCGAAUGUUUUACUGAAGCCAAAUCCUUUGGACCAAACUUGUAUUCAUCCAGAAUCAUAUGACAUAGCAAUGAGGUUUUUAUCAUCCAUUGGAGGGACACUGUAUGAGAUUGGAAAGCCUGAAAUGCAACAAAAAAUAAAUUCAUUCCUUGAAAAGGAAGGAAUGGAGAAAAUUGCAGAAAGAUUGCAAACAACAGUACACACCUUACAGGUCAUCAUAGAUGGUCUCAGCCAGCCUGAAAGCUUUGACUUUCGAACAGAUUUUGAUAAACCUGAUUUUAAGAGAAGCAUAGUAUGCCUGGAAGAUCUGCAGGUUGGGACCGUUCUUACAGGCAAAGUUGAGAAUGCCACUCUCUUUGGAAUUUUCGUGGAUAUAGGAGUGGGGAAAUCUGGGCUGAUUCCCAUACGAAAUGUAACUGAAGCAAAACUUUCAAAAACAAAGAAGAGAAGGAGCCUUGGACUGGGCCCCGGAGAAAGAGUGGAAGUCCAAGUACUCAACAUUGACAUCCCCCGAUCUAGGAUUACUCUGGACCUUAUUCGGGUGUUAUGAGUAUCCCGCAAAGGCCAGACACUGAUUUUAUUUUCUCAUUUCCACAGAUUGACAAGGAUAAGUCAGUUGUUUGUAAACUCUAGGUAGCAGAUGAGAAAUAAUUCACUUAAUAUCAGAAAUAUUUUCCAAACACUUUCCUUUAUUUUUUCUUCUGAAUAAAUAGAAAACCAACAGUUUGAUUUCCUUUCCCCUUAAAGGAAACAACUAAUACACAUUCUUACAUGGCUUUAUGUAGUAAUAGUUUUCUGACUAAAAUUUUGUUUUUUAUUUUUUGUAAUUUAUCUAUAACUCCUUUUGGUUUUUGUAUAACAGAUUGCUUAACUUCUACUUGCCAACAUCUGCCUUGCUGGACUUGUAUGGGAUUGUCUUCUUGAUUUGAAUUGUACAGUCUUUGUUGACACAGUAGGGCUGGGCAGUGUUUAAUCCUUCCAUUUUAUAGAUUUUUUUUUUUUUAAUCUGGCCUUUUGGACUUCAUUCAUAAUUUUGCAAUAAUCUCUUUUCCCUUGUCAUGCAAGCCAGAAAUAUACAGUAAAACAG